ACUCCUACGGGAGGCAGCAGUGGGGAAUUUUGCGCAAUGGGGGAAACCCUGAUGCAGCAACGCCGCGUGGAGGAUGAAGUCCUUUGGGUUGUAAACUCCUUUCGACCGGGACGAUAUGACGGACC
rnacentral:rRNA from 1 species